rnacentral:rRNA from 1 species
CCCCUAGACGUUCUGGGCUGCACGCGCGCUACAAUAAUACGCACAGCGAGUAUCACCGAGCUCGAAAGGGCAAGGUAAACAAUAGAAAAGGUACUGUAAUGGUUAUAGAUCCUUGUAAUUAUUGAUCUUCAACGAGGAAUUCCUAGUAAGUAUGUGUCAUCAUCACGCACUGAUUACGUCCCUGCCCUUUGUACGCACCGCCCGUCGCUCCUACCGAUUGAGUGAGCCGAUGAAACUGCCGGAUGUGGACUAUUCAUAGUCUGCAGAAGAUAUUUGAAUCGUAGCGCUUAGAGGAAGGAGAAGUCGUAACA